rnacentral:lncRNA from 1 species
UUUUCAGUGGGUUGUGCAACAAGAACAGUGGGUUCCAGCUAUUCAGUAUCUGCACAGGGAGGAAGCUUGAUGCCAAGUUCUUAAGGAGUGAGGGAAUGGUGAGGAACUGGAGCUAGUUUUGUAGCAUUUAUUUGAAGGAGAAGAAAAUGAUAAGGAAGCACCUGUCACAGCUGUUGGGCACCAUGAAGAUGUCUAACAGGAGAGAGACUUGGACAAGUGCAAAGGAGAUGUUGCUUCUUUUCGUUAACAAACAGAAGCAUCGAACAAAAUUUUGCUUCCAUUUGCGAACUUCGCAUUGGAUGAUGACGUGGCUGUGGUCAUCUUCCCCAGAAUCGUGGAAAGAGUUAAGUUCAUGAACCGAGGCACCACUGUAAGUAUUUCAAAGCUGUCUAAUCUCUAUCGAAGUUAUAAUAGUUCUCCUCUUUACAAGGUCAUCUAAUUUAAAUUUUCUGCAGUUGUACGAAUACCAAUAGCUCCCUUGUAAUUAUUUCCUUACUAGCCUUUGAGAACGGUAGUAACUAUUAUAUGAUUCUAAUAAUAUUAUUAUUAAAAGGAUACUAUUAUGAGGGGGAGGAGGAAGGGAGCGACAUUGGCACUGCUGGCUUACUGUGAGUGUAUAAGAUAAUCCUGCUACAGUCUUACCGAAGUAGUCCUUGAUGUCACAAAACAGCGAUAACGACGCAGCUUCCAUUUUAACCAGGUAUUUUUUUUCAGCUUUAAUUGAGUUUAUUGGUACAUUUUAGGGAUACAGUACAGUUACAUUCAUUGUUGGGAUCUUGUACCUCUACAUGACAAGUCUUGAAUCUCAUUUUUUCCCCUUACCUCUGCCCUCCCAUCACCCCCUCCUCCCCUCCCCAUCUACAAACACUUUAUUUUCAUCUUUUCAUUCUCUCACAUUUUUUUCUUUUCCCUUUUUACUCUUCCCCUACCCAUCCCACCUUCCCUACACCUUUAGCUCCUUUCUUCCCAUUUCUAAAUGUCAGUAAUCUUAUUAGAAUCUUAUGCAUUGUUGCAGGUUAUUCACACCAGGGAAACUAUUUGGUAUUUACACAUGUGUGACUUAUUUAUUUCACUUAGGAAUAUAACUUCAAUAUGUAUCCAUUUUCCUAUGAAUGAAUCUAUUUUCUCGUUCUUUAUGGCUGAGUAAUAUUCCAUUUUAUAGAAAAACCACAUCUUCUUUAUCCAGUUUCCAACGGAUGGGCAAAUGGGCUGUUUCCAAGAUUUAGCUGUUACAAACUGUGCCGCUAUAAACAUGGGUGCACAUACUUCUCUGUGAUAUGAUUCUUUUAGUUCUCUUGGAAAGAUACCCAGCAGAGGGAUGGCUAGGUCAAAUGGAACCUCCA